rnacentral:rRNA from 1 species
AGAGUUUGAUCCUGGCUCAGAUUGAACGCUGGCGGCAUGCCUUACACAUGCAAGUCGAACGGCAGCACGGACUUCGGUCUGGUGGCGAGUGGCGAACGGGUGAGUAAUGUAUCGGAACGUACCUUUCAGUGGGGGAUAACGUAGCGAAAGUUACGCUAAUACCGCAUAUUCUGUGAGCAGGAAAGCAGGGGAUCGCAAGACCUUGCGCUGAUUGAGCGGCCGAUAUCAGAUUAGCUAGUUGGUGGGGUAAAGGCCUACCAAGGCUACGAUCUGUAGCGGGUCUGAGAGGAUGAUCCGCCACACUGGAACUGAGACACGGUCCAGACUCCUACGGGAGGCAGCAGUGGGGAAUUUUGGACAAUGGGGGCAACCCUGAUCCAGCCAUGCCGCGUGAGUGAAGAAGGCCUUCGGGUUGUAAAGCUCUUUCGGCCGGGAAGAAAUCGCAUAGGUUAAUACCCUGUGUGGAUGACGGUACCGGAAUAAGAAGCACCGGCUAACUACGUGCCAGCAGCCGCGGUAAUACGUAGGAUGCGAGCGUUAAUCGGAAUUACUGGGCGUAAAGCGUGCGCAGGCGGUUUCGUAAGACAGAGGUGAAAUCCCCGGGCUCAACCUGGGAACUGCCUUUGUGACUGCGAAGCUAGAGUACGGCAGAGGGGGGUGGAAUUCCACGUGUAGCAGUGAAAUGCGUAGAGAUGUGGAGGAACACCGAUGGCGAAGGCAGCCCCCUGGGCCGAUACUGACGCUCAUGCACGAAAGCGUGGGUAGCAAACAGGAUUAGAUACCCUGGUAGUCCACGCCCUAAACGAUGUCAACUAGGUGUUGGGUGGGUAAAACCAUUUAGUACCGUAGCUAACGCGUGAAGUUGACCGCCUGGGGAGUACGGCCGCAAGGUUAAAACUCAAAGGAAUUGACGGGGACCCGCACAAGCGGUGGAUGAUGUGGAUUAAUUCGAUGCAACGCGAAAAACCUUACCUACCCUUGACAUGUUCAGAAUCCCGGAGAGAUUUGGGAGUGCCCGAAAGGGAGCUGGAACACAGGUGCUGCAUGGCUGUCGUCAGCUCGUGUCGUGAGAUGUUGGGUUAAGUCCCGCAACGAGCGCAACCCUUGUCGUUAAUUGCCAUCAUUUAGUUGGGCACUUUAACGAGACUGCCGGUGACAAACCGGAGGAAGGUGGGGAUGACGUCAAGUCCUCAUGGCCCUUAUGGGUAGGGCUUCACACGUCAUACAAUGGUCGGUACAGAGGGUUGCCAAGCCGCGAGGUGGAGCCAAUCCCAGAAAGCCGAUCGUAGUCCGGAUUGCAGGCUGCAACUCGCCUGCAUGAAGUCGGAAUCGCUAGUAAUCGCGGAUCAGCAUGUCGCGGUGAAUACGUUCCCGGGUCUUGUACACACCGCCCGUCACACCAUGGGAGCGGGUUCCGCCAGAAGUAGGUAGCCUAACCGCAAGGGGGGCGCUUACCACGGCGGGGUUCGUGACUGGGGUGAAGUCGUAGCAAGGUAACCGUA